AUUGAACGCUGGCGGCAGGCCUAACACAUGCAAGUCGAGCGGCAGCGGAAAGUAGCUUGCUACUUUGCCGGCGAGCGGCGGACGGGUGAGUAAUGUCUGGGAAACUGCCUGAUGGAGGGGGAUAACUACUGGAAACGGUAGCUAAUACCGCAUAACGUCGCAAGACCAAAGAGGGGGACCUUCGGGCCUCUUGCCAUCAGAUGUGCCCAGAUGGGAUUAGCUAGUAGGUGGGGUAACGGCUCACCUAGGCGACGAUCCCUAGCUGGUCUGGGAGGAUGACCAGCCACACUUGAACUGAGACACGGUCCAGACUCCUACGGGAGGCAGCAGUGGGGAAUAUUGCACAAUGGGCGCAAGCCUGAUGCAGCCAUGCCGCGUGUAUGAAGAAGGCCUUCGGGUUGUAAAGUACUUUCAGCGGGGAGGAAGGUGUUGAGGUUAAUAACCUCAGCAAUUGACGUUACCCGCAGAAGAAGCACCGGCUAACUCCGUGCCAGCCGCCGCGGUAAGAC
rnacentral:rRNA from 1 species